AUGAAUACAUGCAUAUUUGCACGGUGAUCCUGAGCCUGUCAGGCGUAGUUACACAUUUUCUAGAGAUUUGAGAAAAUUGUCGUUAUCUCCUGAAGGUGGGGAUGUUGUUAUAUGUGUUGUCAUUCAGCAAGCUAAAUAGAAAGCACUAACUAGCUCAUAACCUCCACUGUCCUUUGGGCUUGAUCUGCUGUACCUUUGCUUCGGAGCAAUAAAUCACCUCGAAUUCUGGUCAAAACUCGGUGUUAUUCUAUGGGGGGAGUCUUUGGAUAUAGACAGGACCGAGGACAAGCAAGCACAAGCUGAAGAUCUUCCAGAGAUCAGAGAAGGAAGAGGAAAAAAAUACGAAGCAGCUGCCAAGGCCGAGCUGUGCAGGUGGCAGACAUCACUGGAUCUGGUUUUUAUUAUUUUUUUAUU